GUACCACCUGCGCAAGGGCGGCCUAGCUCUCCUGUUGCCCAGCACGGGAUGCGCGUGGGUGCGUGUCGCCGUGGCACUACUGCGCUUGCUGUGCGGUGCGGGGAUUUGUGGCGGAGCCGGAGCUUGCUGGCCAGAGGCCCCGGUAGGAAAAUCGCCGGGCACGGAGUUCCGGUGAUGCCUGCGCUUUCAGCUUUGUAGACUGACUGGUGCAUGGCACUACGCUGUUUGGAGCCUGAGUUGUACAGGUCGGGAAAAUGAAUUUAAUAUGAGUGACCAAACGGGGCUAUUGGCGAGAACUAGAACACACUACAUUUGCAAAGUACUUUGCACAAGGGAGCUCUGGAGGCCUGGUCUGGCAGGCAGAGCACACCACACCCACUGUCACUCCUGACGACUGACAGCAGUGAAGAUCCUGGUAGAGCUGGCCCGCAGUGGAAUGCAGGCGCUCCAUCUUCAGCAUCGCACUCCCAGCAGCUGCCGGGUCAAGGCCAGGGCAUCCUAUGUGGACGAGACCCUGUUUGGCAGCCCUACUGGAACCCGGCCCACCCCUCCAGACUUUGACCCACCCUGGGUGCGGAACUGUAACAGGUCGAGAGGAGUGGGCCCAGGACCACCGAAGGUCUCGCCAGUCAAGAGAGACUGUGAGUCCACCCCCUCCAGGGGCAGCAUCCCAAACCUCACACCAAGGAAGAAAAACAAAUACAGGUUGAUUGGCCACACCCCAUCCUUCUGUGAUGAGUCAUUGUUUGGCUCCCGGCCACAGGGCCUCAGCAAGGAGGGGUCUCGGACAGCCGUGGGGGAUGCUGCCAAGCUCUGGACCCUUUUCUGGACUCCACCAGCCACCCCUAGGGGUGGCCACUCACCUCACCCCAGGGAGACCCCACUUCGAGCCAUUCACCCCGUUGGACCCACCAGGACAGAGCCCAGCAUGACCAGGGGCUCCCAGAAGACACCCCAGGAGGGGUUGGAUGCUCCCCACUCUCUGGAGCAGAGGCGUUCCCAUUCAGUCACCCACCUGAGUGUCCCCAGCAUGGGUCAUCUAGAUGCCAGUGUCCCCCAGACCAAUGGACCUUGGAGUCCCCGGCCUUCCACAUCAAGGAUGACUGUCCAGAGUCCCCUGGUCACUUCCAAGGCACAGUCAGGCAGUGUUUCAGGACCAGCUGCCCUACAACGAGGGACCGGCCCCCUCAAGCCAAAGCCUCCUUGGAAGUGAGACUCUCACCAGGUUGCUGGCACCCUCCAGAAAGACCUGGCCGAUGUCCAGAUGUUCUCUGAUGGCCCUCAUCAAGUCUUCAGGGAACACUCCCUCCAGAGCAUCUGGGUGGGACUCCACGUAGGACAUCAGGGUCACCAGCCCCACUUUUUGUAUGGCCUCAUCCAGGACUGUCAUGAUUCUCUUGGCCUCGAUGGUGUUGAGCUUGGAUUUGGAUGGGGUCAAGGUCUUCAUUGGCAUAACUGGGAUUAUGUCUGUACUCAGUGGGAUUCUAUGGAUGGCCAGGCCAUCGUAGGAAGGGGGCAUGCUGAAGAUGUCCAAGGCCAAGGCCAUCUCUGGAGCGGCUGACUUUGCCUCUGUAUACCCCGGCAUUGAGACGUCAGCCAACUCAAGGUUCUCCUGGCUUUUCAGUCAGCAACCCUGCAAAGGAAGGGGUGGCUGUUAGGCUCUGCCAUGAUGUGAUGCACUGUCCUGCCUCAGCCUCCAACACAGCAGAGCCACCAGUCACAGAGAAGACCAGCUUACAAGUCAUUCACCUCAGGGGCUUUGUCAUGGUGAGAAAGCACACUAACAGUAGUCUUGGUGGGACUGUCCAUCAAAUAGUCCUGUCCACUGUGUCUGAGGAACAGGGACUCUGGCUGAGGGAAAGCCGCAGGGAUGGGAACUGCCAAGCUCCCAGAUCCUUCCUGAAGACCCUACUAAUCCAGAGCCUGAAGUGGGAGGUUGUGGGGACCUUCUUGGCAUUAGUCUGAGGUCUGAAGCCUGGUUGGUCAGCGUUGUUUUCAUUGCUAUGCUUAGCCUCCAUGUGUUUCUGUUGUUUGUGAUCAGAGAGGCUCAGCUGAUCAGAUAUCUAUUCAAAGAGCCCCUUAGAUGAUCAAACAGCACAGGAACUGAUUGAUGAUGGGCCCAGAUUAAGAUGGAGGAGAAAGCGCUAUGCAAAGAAAGCCACAGCAGACUAUCUUUAGUUCAUCAAACCACAGACAGCGAGGCAAUUGGAUAAGUGUCCAGAUGUCUAAGGACAGAGAAGAGAGGCUCCUUGGCUGGACAAAACAUACCCAGAGUGAGAACCUUCUUCAAGGUCGAAGACCCUGCCCAAGGAGGCACCAACUUGCUUCCCUGGGACUCAUUCCCACUUCCUGCUCUCUUACCCCAGAGUGAGUUCCCUGGGUGCCUAAAGAGAUUUCUGGGCAGCUGUGGCGCCUCUCUCUGGCUGCUCUGAGGAUGAAGGGUGCCUGUCCCGAGGCCACAGGAUAAAUGAAGGAAGGGUUGGAUGGACACACUUUUCCAAGUUAACCUCAGAGUUCUCCAGGCAUCAAUCAAAACUCCCAGGAUUCUUGGGAGAUGAAGGCUGGAAACUCAGAGCCACGGGGAAUGUUUCCAAUUUGCUUUCAGCCAAAUUGCCUCUUUUGCUUUAAAGGGCAAGCUUGUUUUCUUUGAUUACCAAGACACCCAUCAGUUCUUGACAGCUCAUUUGGGUGAACAGGGGAAGGGGAAGGUAUGGGGAGAGGGGUGAAUGAUGACAUCAGCAAAAUUACCCAAGAAUCUUUUCCUUGAAUUCUAAUGAGUGUUCCAUGUCCUUUUUUGAUGCCACCAAUGUUCAUAUUGAAAUUGUUGUCAACCCAGCCUCCCCCUUUUUAAGAUUCCUGCUCUGAGAGUCAAGUGGGGGCUGCAGAUGCACCAGGCUUUAAUUGUCAUGAAUUCUAUUGAUUUAUCUUUAUCAUGCAACUGUGUCUCCACUUCAUGCAAAUAGACCUACUGGAUAUUUAUUA